rnacentral:rRNA from 1 species
CAGUGGGGAAUAUUGCACAAUGGGGGAAACCCUGAUGCAGCGACGCCGCGUGAGUGAAGAAGUUAUUUCGGUAUGUAAAGCUCUAUCGGCAGGGAAGAAAAUGACGGUACCUGACUAAGAAGCCCGGCUAACUACGUGCC